CAAAGUGUAGCUUAACUUAAAGCAUCUAGUUUACACCUAGAAGAUUUCAUUUAAACUGACCACUUUGA
rnacentral:tRNA from 2 species